AUUGAACGCUGGCGGCAGGCCUAACACAUGCAAGUCGAGCGGGGUUUUUCGGACCUAGCGGCGGACGGGUGAGUAAUGCGUAGGAAGCUGCCCGAUAGAGGGGGGAUACCAGUUGGAAACGACUGUUAAUACCGCAUAAUGUCUACGGACCAAAGUGUGGGACCUUCGGGCCACAUGCUAUCGGAUGCGCCUACGUGGGA
rnacentral:rRNA from 1 species